AGACACGGCCCAGACUCCUACGGGAGGCAGCAGUGGGGAAUAUUGCACAAUGGGCGAAAGCCUGAUGCAGCGACGCCGCGUGAGGGAUGACGGCCUUCGGGUUGUAAACCUCUUUCAGCAGGGAAGAAGCGAAAGUGACGGUACCUGCAGAAGAAGCGCCGGCUAACUACGUGCCAGCAGCCGCGGUAAUACGUAGGGCGCAAGCGUUGUCCGGAAUUAUUGGGCGUAAAGAGCUCGUAGGCGGCUUGUCACGUCGGUUGUGAAAGCCCGGGGCUUAACCCCGGGUCUGCAGUCGAUACGGGCAGGCUAGAGUUCGGUAGGGGAGAUCGGAAUUCCUGGUGUAGCGGUGAAAUGCGCAGAUAUCAGGAGGAACACCGGUGGCGAAGGCGGAUCUCUGGGCCGAUACUGACGCUGAGGAGCGAAAGCGUGGGGAGCGAACAGGAUUAGAUACCCUGGUAGUCCACGCCGUAAACGGUGGGCACUAGGUGUGGGCAACAUUCCACGUUGUCCGUGCCGCAGCUAACGCAUUAAGUGCCCGCCUGGGGAGUACGGGCCGCAAGGCUAAAACUCAAAGGAAUUGACGGGGGGCCCGCACAAGCGGCGGAGCAUGUGGCUUAAUUCGACGCAACGCGAAGAACCUUACCAAAGGCUUGACAUACACCGGAAACGUCUGGAGACAGGCGCCCCCUUGUGGUCGGUGUACAGGUGGUGCAUGGCUGUCGUCAGCUCGUGUCGUGAGAUGUUGGGUUAAGUCCCGCAACGAGCGCAACCCUUGUCCCGUGUUGCCAGCAGGCCCUUGUGGUGCUGGGGACUCACGGGAGACCGCCGGGGUCAACUCGGAGGAAGGUGGGGACGACGUCAAGUCAUCAUGCCCCUUAUGUCUUGGGCUGCACACGUGCUACAAUGGCCGGUACAAUGAGCUGCGAUACCGCGAGGUGGAGCGAAUCUCAAAAAGCCGGUCUCAGUUCGGAUUGGGGUCUGCAACUCGACCCCAUGAAGUCGGAGUCGCUAGUAAUCGCAGAUCAGCAUUGCUGCGGUGAAU
rnacentral:rRNA from 1 species